rnacentral:rRNA from 1 species
AGUGAACGCUGGCGGUAGGCCUAACACAUGCGAGUCGAACGGCAGCACAGUAAGAGCUUGCUCUUACGGGUGGCGAGUGGCGGACGGGUGAGGAAUACAUCGGAAUCUACUUUUUCGUGGGGGAUAACGUAGGGAAACUUACGCUAAUACCGCAUACGACCUACGGGUGAAAGCAGGGGAUCUUCGGACCUUGCGCGAUUGUAUGAGCCGAUGUCGGAUUAGCUAGUUGGCGGGGUAAAGGCCCACCAAGGCGACGAUCCGUAGCUGGUCUGAGAGGAUGAUCAGCCACACUGGAACUGAGACACGGUCCAGACUCCUACGGGAGGCAGCAGUGGGGAAUAUUGGACAAUGGGCGCAAGCCUGAUCCAGCCAUACCGCGUGGGUGAAGAAGGCCUUCGGGUUGUAAAGCCCUUUUGUUGGGAAAGAAAAGCAGCAGGUUAAUACCCCGCUGUUCUGACGGUACCCAAAGAAUAAGCACCGGCUAACUUCGUG